rnacentral:rRNA from 1 species
AUUGAACGCUGGCGGCAGGCCUAACACAUGCAAGUCGAGCGGAGCGGCGGACGGGUGAGUAAUGCCAAGGAAUCUGCCAGGUAGUGGGGGAUAACGUCCGGAAACGGGCGCUAAUACCGCAUACUAUCAGAUGAGCCUAGGGCGGAUUGGCUAGUUGGGGGGGUAAGGGCAUACCAAGGCGACGAUCCGUAACUGGUCUGAGAGGAUGAGCAGUCACACUGGAACUGAGACACGGUCCAGACUCCUACGGGAGGCAGCAGUGGGGAAUAUUGGACAAUGGGCGAAAGCCUGAUCCAGCCAUGCCGCGUGUGUGAAGAAGGUCUUCGGGUUGUAAAGCACUUUCAGUUGGGAGGCGUUACCAGCAGAAUAAGCACCGGCUAACUUCGUGCCAGCAGCCGCGGUAAUAC